UACGUAGGAUGCUAGCGUUGUCCGGAUUUACUGGGCGUAAAGCACGCGCAGGCGGCACUGUAAGUAAGGUGUGAAAUAUCCCUGCUCAACGGGGAGGGUGCACUUUAGACUGCAGAGCUAGAGGACGGUAGAGGGGGGUGGAAUUGCUGGUGUAGCGGUGAAAUGCGUAGAGAUCAGCAGGAACACCCGUGGCGAAGGCGGCCCCCUGGGCCGAACCUGACGCUGAGGCGCGAAGGCUAGGGGAGCGAACGGG
rnacentral:rRNA from 1 species